CAGCAGCCACGGGAAUACGAGGGGGGCAAGCGUUGUUCGGAAUUAUUGGGCGUAAAGGGUGCGUAGGCGGUUUGACAAGUCUUAUGUGAAAUCUCUGGGCUCAACCCAGAGUCUGCAUGGGAAACUGUCGGGCUUGAGUAUGGGAGAGGUGAGUGGAAUUUCCGGUGUAGCGGUGAAAUGCGUAGAUAUCGGAAGGAACACCUGUGGCGAAAGCGGCUCACUGGACCAUAACUGACGCUGAGGCACGAAAGCUAGGGGAGCAAACAGGAUUAGAUACCCCCGUAGUCCCUGUCUCUUAUAC
rnacentral:rRNA from 1 species